UGGCGGACGGGUGAGUAACACGUGAGGAUCUGCCCAUAGGACGGGGAUAACAGAGGGAAACUUCUGCUAAUACCGGAUGAGCCGAGAGGUAAAACAUUUAUGGCCUAUGGAGGAGCUCGCGGCUGAUUAGCUAGUUGGUGGGGUAAGGGCCUACCAAGGCGACGAUCAGUAGCUGGUCUGAGAGGAUGAUCAGCCACACUGGGACUGAGACACGGCCCAGACUCCUACGGGAGGCAGCAGUGGGGAAUUUUCCGCAAUGGGGGCAACCCUGACGGAGCAACGCCGCGUGAGGGAAGAAUGGUUGUGGCCAGUAAACCUCUUUUAAUAGGGAAGAAUUUUGACGGUACCUAUUGAAUAAGCAUCGGCUAACUCCGUGCCAGCAGCCGCGGUAAU
rnacentral:rRNA from 1 species